GAUGAACGCUGGCGGCGUGCCUAAUACAUGCAAGUCGAGCGAACAGACGAGGAGCUUGCUCCUCUGACGUUAGCGGCGGACGGGUGAGUAACACGUGGAUAACCUACCUAUAAGACUGGGAUAACUUCGGGAAACCGGAGCUAAUACCGGAUAAUAUAUUGAACCGCAUGGUUCAAUAGUGAAAGACGGUUUUGCUGUCACUUAUAGAUGGAUCCGCGCCGCAUUAGCUAGUUGGUAAGGUAACGGCUUACCAAGGCAACGAUGCGUAGCCGACCUGAGAGGGUGAUCGGCCACACCGGAACUGAGACACGGUCCAGACUCCUACGGGAGGCAGCAGUAGGGAAUCUUCCGCAAUGGGCGAAAGCUUGACGGAGCAACGCCGCGUGAGUGAUGAAGGUCUUCGGAUCGCAAAACUCUGUUAUUAGGGAAGAACAAAUGUGUAAGUAACUAUGCACGUCUUGACGGUACCUAAUCAGAAAGCCACGGCUAACUACGUG
rnacentral:rRNA from 1 species